GAUGAACGCUGGCGGCGUGCCUAAUACAUGCAAGUCGAGCGAACGGACGAGAAGCUUGCUCCUCUGAUGUUAGCGGCGGACGGGUGAGUAACACGUGGAUAACCUACCUAUAAGACUGGGAUAACUUCGGGAAACCGGAGCUAAUACCGGAUAAUAUUUUGAACCGCAUGGUUCAAAAGUGAAAGGCGGUCUUGCUGUCACUUAUAGAUGGAUCCGCCCUGCAUUAGCUAGUUGGUAAGGUAACGGCUUACCAAGGCAACGAUGCAUAGCCGACCUGAGAGGGUGAUCGGCCACACUGGAACUGAGACACGGUCCAGACUCCUACGGGAGGCAGCAGUAGGGAAUCUUCCGCAAUGGGCGAAAGCCUGACGGAGCAACGCCGCGUGAGUGAUGAAGGUCUUCGGAUCGUAAAACUCUGUUAUUAGGGAAGAACAUAUGUGUAAGUAACUGUGCACAUCUUGACGGUACCUAAUCAGAAAGCCACGGCUAACUACGUG
rnacentral:rRNA from 1 species